AUGCCUUACGAUGAGCGGUACACACCGUACAUCAAGCAGGCAGGACUACUCCCAUGGAUUCAGUUGGUCAGUCGGUCCACGCCGAAUCUGAACGCUCCACUGGUGUCCGCUCUUGCUGAUCGGUGGAGGCCGGAGACGCAUAGUUUCCAUCUUCGGACUGGGGAGAUGACCGUGACGCUCGAGGAUGUCUCGUUGAUCACCGGUCUUGCUAUCGACAGGAUGCCUCUCUGUAUGAGCACCGAUUCUGAUGGGUGGCGCGAGCAGAUGAUUGCUCUUAUCGGUAUGGCUCCUACCGAGGCUGAGGAUGAUGUAGAGGAGGGAGAAGAGAAGAAGAAGAGGGAAAGGAAGGCAGCCGGAGCUGCUUUCACGUGGAUUCAAAAUAACUUUGCGACGUGCCCUCCGGAUGCAACUGAUGAUGUGAUCCAGACACAUGCUCGUGUGUAUAUGUGGUACAUUGUGUCGAGGACUUUGUUUCCUGACUCCACUAGCAAGAACGCUCCAUGGAUGUGGCUG
rnacentral:rRNA from 1 species